UCUCUCACUCCCAACUCCCCACCCCUAAGCGGCUCCUGCUUUUGCUAAUUUCCUCCAGUCGCAAAACCCCAUAAAUCCCAAUUCCCUAGCGUCUUAUUGCAGAUGUUUCUUUUUGAGCAUUAAAAUAAACAGCAACAACAAGGAAGCCAAGAUCAUUUUCAGCAACAAAAUAUUGGGUGCUGAAGCUAUCCCUUGAAAUCAGUUACUUUCUUCCUUAAUCUAAUUCUCAGCAAAAAAAAAAAAAAAUAUAUAUAUAUAUAUUUAUAUAUAUAUUUAAUUUUCUGGGAAGAGCAGGUUGUCAGAAAUUAGGGGUUUUAAUACCCUUCCACAAGACAACCCUUAAAUUGCCCUUUCAGAUAAGGUUCCAAGCAAUGGUAUGGAAGUUUCAUGUCAUUUGUUUUAUACCCUUUUAUUUAUUUAUUUAUUUAUUUUGUAAAAUUUACUUUCUGCAAUUUUAUAGAAAAUAAAGGAGGGAUUGAUUUUUCAGUAGAUUUAACUCUUUUUUCUUUUGGGGUAAUUGGAUUCUUGAGGUUGGUUCUUUUAAAAGUGCCAAGUUAAUUUUUUUUUUUUUUGCUUGGAGCUUUGAAUUAAUCUGUUGAUGUGUAUUUGUUAGAUUCUGAUUUAGAAUCAGGGACUGGAAAGUUAACUUUUUGUAAUUUCUUCUGGUUUUUGGUGAUAAAAUCUGGGGUCUGGCGUGUGGGUCAAUUUCCUUGAUGGGUUCUGUUGAAUUUUGUUCUAGAAAUAUGAGCUAGAAAAGAUCACUUUUUUCUUGCAAAAUGAGAUGAGUUUUUUUAUCUUAAUUGGUUUUUCUUAGGUUUGGGCAUCAGUAAUCAGUUGAAGUAUAAAGAGUAGCAGAGCUUGUUCCGAUUAUUUGGAGGAAUUGGUCUUGAAAAUGGAGGAUCAAGAAGUUUUGCCUGAUGAGUCCUCUGUAUCCUUAGUUAGGGAAGUUAGAGUAGAAGAAGAUGAGGAAGACUUCCGGAUUUAUGUGUCUUUUAGUCGUGUGUUGUAUUUGAAUUGAUAGAUUUUUAUUUGUUUGGAUUUAGUUAUUGUGUAAG
rnacentral:lncRNA from 1 species